GCCCCCACAAUGCCGCUCAGAAAAUGGUCCCAACCCGGAAGUAAGAAAAAUUGCAGUUCCACCCUCAUCCGCUGGGGGCUGGUACCAGAAGCGAGCAAAUCCUCAUUGACUCCCAUGUUAAAAAUGCCAUUUUCACAGCAGAAAUAAACAUGUUUACAGCCUGGUUCAAAAAAUGGUUUUUCGUCUAAAUUAUCUAGUUUAUACUCAUGACAACUCUGAGGGGGGUGAAUUUUUUUCUCACUCUUCUGUUUAAGUGUAUUGAAAGCCUAAAAUUCUGUAUAAUUAAUGAGCAUCCGACACACGUGACCGCCGCCUCAGACCCACGUGACCACAGAGCUAGCUCCGUGGAAAGGCCUCAGUACAGCCUCGGUCUCUCCUGGAAACUGUGUCGGGAUUUUGAGUCUCUGUGCUUGUGAAUUCUGUUUUGGAUAAUAUUGGUGCAAUUGUUGGACAAAAUGACUUGCUGUGGUAUUAAUUGCACUAAUAGAGCGUCCAAGGAGUCUCCACUUCAUUUUUUUCGGGAAGGACCUGAUUGGUGUCCAGAACCUGCUGAAGAAGCACGAGGCUCUGCAGGCUGAGAUCACAGGUCAUGAACCUCGCAUCAAGGCUGUCACCCAGAAAGGAGAGACCAUAAUGGAGGAAGGUAGAGCAGGUCUGGUCCUGACAUGUUUCUGAGGUGUCUGCAGGUUCUGGCUCACUUUGUUUGGGUCCAGGUCACUUCGCUGGUUCAGAACCCUCGGCCCGUCAGAACAUUCUUAUCCACCACGUUCUAACACCAGACCCGUUAACCCGACAGCAACAAGUGGCUCCAACUGACGAUGAGACCGGGAAGGAGCUGGUUCUGGCUCUGUACGACUACCAGGAGAAGAGUCCUGGAGAGGUCACCAUGAAGAAGGGCGACAUCCUCACGCUGCUCAACAGCACCAACAAGGUUGUUUUACUUGAACUCGCGUCUUUAGCUGAAUGAGGAUGGAGAGACGGGUCGGACCUGGAGCAGGUCGAGGUCUUGCAGAAGAAGUUUGACGACUUCCAGAAGGACCUGAAGGCCAACGAGUCCCGCCUGAGGGACAUCAACAAGGUGGCAUCUGAACUGGAGUCAGAAGGUCUGAUGGCUGAGGAGGCUCCUAUGGUUCAGGCUCAGCAACAAGAACAUCUGGGUUCUGCUCCUGGAAAGGAUGAAGCCGACUCUAACACCGGCUUUCCACAGCAGCCGUCAGCAGCACGUUACUGCAGCAGCACGUCAUAGCUGCUGAUAGGAACCGCUGUGGUCAACAGAACCUUUUCCACUGGAGCCGUCAGCAGCGCGAGUCGGCCACGUCUCAGGAGCAGCAUGUCGCGGCCUUUACGCGCCGAUUCUAUUUUCUACGCGCGACGCCUCUGAAACGGGUCAAGUUCGACAUUUUUGGGGAAGGAAAGACAGGAAAUCGGACGCGGAAAUUGAGAGAAGCUACCGAGAUUUUCAGAAUAAAGAACGUACUGCCUUCCGGUUGCUUUACUUUUAAAAAAGGUUACUAACUGUGCGUCCCCGUGAGAAGUUAUCACCUAGCUAGCGGUCUCCUUUGUUUUUCAGGUCCGUAUUGGCGAUUAUAAAACGGACAGAACAUAAAACAAAAACCAUGUUGUAGUUUUCUCCUGCUUGUUGUUGUGUUUACUGACGAAGUCACUCGAGUGACUUCGUGCUCGGUCGGUGACAGCUGCUCCCCUGCUGCUUCGCGUCUCGUGGGAAGGGCCAAGCAGCAGCUUACGCGAGCAAGACGUGCUGCUGCAGUAACGUGCUGCUGACGGCUCCCGUGGAAACCCGGGGUAACACGGCGUCACCCUGGAAGGUGAGUUCAUUCAGCUGAUCAGAGGUCACCUCUGAUGGCCGCAGUCACGGCCGACCGUGCUGACAUCACACAGGAAUUCAGGUGACCCGGCAGGCACCAGACCGUACGGUUGGGCGUUCAGACGACGGCUAACUUUAAUUCCAUCAAGGUAAGAGGAAGCUCUUCCCUUCCUGUCUGAGCGAUCCGUCUCCAGGUUUCCUCGUCCGGCGUCCAGCCCGCUGGCGUCCACCUUCAUCUCACUGGGUUUGGUUUCUCUCCAGGAGCUGAACAACCGCUGGCGCUCGCUGCAACAGCUGGCUGAAGACCGGAGCAACAUGCUGGGCAGCGCCCAUGAGGUGUAGCGCUUCCACAGAGACGCUGAUGAGACCAAAGAGUGGAUCGAGGAGAAGAACCAGGCCCUGAACACAGACAACUACGGCCACCACCUGGCCAGCGUUCAGGCUCUGCAGCGUGAACAUGAAGGCUUUGAGCGUGACCUGGCAGCUCUGGGUGAUAAGGUCCGCUUUCCUGAUCGGUACCAGGACCCGAGUUGUCUCUGGAGACACGUUCUUCAUGGUUCUGGUGACUCCACCCCAGCCGUUCCUGAUCAGCGAUCAGCGGGGUGCUUUCCUAUUUAUGGUGGAUGGAGGACACAAUUUGACGCCAGAAGAUUGCCUCAGUUUUGGAUUCCUGUCGACCUCAUUGGAUACUGACCUCUACUCCAGGAUUUGGAUAUUCAACACACGGACCAUAUCACCAGCCUCCAUAACCCACCUCUCAUCUCACCCGUUGCCCCAUCCACCAGGACGCCCCGCUUCUCUCCACCUCUGCUCCCUCUCCUGCGCUUCCCCCGGCUCUCUACCUCUCUCUCCUCCAGCCAACACAUACACCCACCACAAUGCUGAGCUGUUGUUGCAGUUCCAACCACAGACUUAUCUGUGCACCUUAAGUUCCUCCUUAUAAAGAAAUCAUUUUUUCCAUCAGUUUUUGGUCAGUGUUGUAUUCUGCAUGUCUUGGGUUAAGUACCUUCCUCCAAACAUGACACUCCUCUUCAAAGAGCAAAUCUGUUCAGCACAUUCUGACAGACAGACCACCAUUCUUCUGUCAUGAUGCUGUACAGGACAUUUUUAGAGUUUUUCUUUUUAAAGAUAAAUAGGAUUACAUUUAAAUAGCAAUACUUUCACAUUAUCAUUUUCCCACACUUCUGUAUAACUGUAUUUUGUUGUUUUUCAAUAAAGAAUGACAAACUA